CGGCACGGGUGAGUAACACGUAUCCAACCUGCCGUCUACUCUUGGCCAGCCUUCUGGAAGGAAGAUUAAUCCAGGAUGGCAUCAUGAGUUCACAUGUCCGCAUGAUUAAAGGUAUUUUCCGGUAGACGAUGGGGAUGCGUUCCAUUAGAUAGUAGGCGGGGUAACGGCCCACCUAGUCAACGAUGGAUAGGGGUUCUGAGAGGAAGGUCCCCCACAUUGGAACUGAGACACGGUCCAA
rnacentral:rRNA from 1 species